UUUCGCUCAUUUCAUGACUGUCCAACAUUUGUGGUGCCAGCUCAAGAAGAAAGAACAAGUAGGAAACAAACGGUUCUACUUCUAUUUGUCAAGCUCAAGAUGCUCUUAACAGCACUACAUCAAAAAAGUCUUUGUUCUCUGAAAGAGUCCUUCAGACUGUAACAGAAGGAGUGUCUCUAAAUCUAACCCUUGCAACUCCAGAGUACGUACAGAAUGCUUGAGAAAGCAACAAAUGGGUCAGAUCUCUUUUGGAGAAUGUGAUGCAAUCUUUUUAACACGAGAUACUGUGGAAUUCAGCUUUACUGCUCACUCUACUACAGACCCAGUCAUUGUUGGAUGGAAUCGAACCGGAGACCUCUGGAGCUUAGUGCAUGAGCCUCUACAGCAUAAGCUAAAACCCAAAUGGCUCUUAGUCUUGGUGCCACAUAAGCAGGACUCAAGUUUCACUAUAUCAACUGGGGUCCAAAAAGGAGAUCCAGGGGGAAAGAAAGGAAAAGGAAAAAAAGAAGAAUAAAAAGGAAAGACCUGGAAGAAGAAGAAGAAGAACUCGCCUCCAAGGCACAGCCCAAGAUCAGAGCUGCUAAAAUCGUAUGCACGACCGUGACAUGCGGCAACCAGAAGCCAGAUGAGACUGACCUUGCAUGGCCAACAGGGAAAGUCUUCCUGUGUA